UACGUAGGAGGCAAGCGUUGUCCGGAAUCACUGGGCGUAAAGCGCGUGUAGGCGGAUCGCUAAGUCUGUGGUGAAAGCGCCUGGCUUAACCGGGCGAGGUCCAUGGAAACUAGCGGUCUGGAGGCCGGUAGAGGGGGGUGGAAUUCCGGGUGAUAGUGGUGAAAUGCGUAGAGAUCCGGAGGAACGCCGGUGGCGAAGGCGGGGUCUCUGGGCAGUAACUGACGCUGAGGAGCGAAAGCGUGGGGAGGCGAACAGGAUUAGAUACCCGU
rnacentral:rRNA from 1 species